rnacentral:piRNA from 1 species
UAGCUCAGCUGCUGCUCC